GGCUUCAUAGCUCAGUUGGCAGAGCAUAACGCUAGUAACGUGGAGGUCAUGGGUUCAAAUCCCCGUUGAAGCCU